GUGACAGGACGACUGGGGACAGCGACAGGGGCCCUGUGGGACUAGGGGCAACACCGAGAGCUGUGGCCCACAGAUGGGCGAAUUUGGAGGGGCUAACGCGGGCGGAAACCAUCCGUACCAGUCACCGCCGCCGCCUCCAGCCGUCCAGACCCUGAAUCUUCCCGUCUUCAAAAUGGCGGCGCGUCGGCAGGAGGGGCAGCGUCUACGCUGGCGGUGGCCAGACUGAAGGAGUUGCUGCCGAACACAUCGAUGGGAAGGAGCGUCGAAACACUGAUGCGCACGCGCACGGUAGGCCCCCGUAGAGCCGCCGUUCCAUUGGCUACGACGUGCGAGGAGAAAAGCUGAGGUGCAGCCUCCAUACCUUGAUAGCAGUUAUCUACCCAACAACUGGGCUGGGGAGCAGUCGUGUCUACAUUGCCUAAAUGAAGAAAUUGUGACUCAGAGAAGCUAAGUAAAAUGCCCAGUGCUGUACAACUUCAGGCAGUGAGAUUCACACUUGGAUUUGUGUGGCUCCAAAAUCUCAAUUCCUUCCGGGACAAUAAAACAAAGGAGAAGAAGAGAGAGCGAUGGUGCAUCUUGAUGGCCAGGUGAAAAUGGAGCACUGCUAAGCAAGCCCCAAGGAAAUGUACAACCCUCCACAGGAAGUUUUAUUAUCCGCUUCUGAGGAAAUGAAAUCCUCCUUGUGUGUUUCUUGUUGGAAGACUGGGCUAAGAUUCCUCCUGAGGUAGCCACAAAGAUCAGACGUAUCUUCUCCCAGAACUCCAGAAGCUGGCCUGAGGUACGUGAUCUAAAGUGAUUCCAAUCUCUGGCCUCUGGCAGGAAUU